AAGAUAAGCAGGAGAAUGGGAGGGGAAUUGGGAAGUAACUACCAAUCCCAGUACAGAUUGCCUAUAGGAUGGUCCAAUUUAAAGGACAGGCAACAUGGAAGGGCAGCCGGGGUCCUUGCAGCAUCAGUUAGCCGUUUGGCUAGUAGCGUGUGGGACUGGGUGUCCUGUGAUGUACUCUUCCUCGAUGGAAGGUAAACCUGUUUUUUUGUUGUAUUACUGCAAUGGAUGUUUUUAUUGUGUUGAUGCAGUCACUAACUAUAGAUUUAAUAAUUCUUUUAGAUGAAUCAGUGGUAUUUGAAUCCAUUAUGUGUCAUGUGGGCAUGAGGUGGUAAUUGUGUUAAUAGGGAUAUUUUACUAUGUUUUAGAACUGUUUGCCUGAUGGAAUAAAUUCAGGACCAUCAUGUUUUUUGUCUGAUUGUGCACCUUAAAGGUAUGGUUAUUCAUUUUGAGUUUGUUUGUUUGUUUGUGAUGUGGAUGGGACUGACACUCAUGAAAAAUACUCAAUUUUUAGAACUGUUUGCCUAAUGGAAUAAAUUCAAGACCAUCAUGUAUUUUUCCGGUUGUGCACCUUCAAGGGUGUUGGAUGUUGAUUGCUAGUCGCUGUUCUCUUAUAUGGUUUUUUGUUUAUUUU